rnacentral:rRNA from 1 species
ACUUUUAAUAAUAGAUCUCUUAGUUCUAGUAUUAAUAAAGAACGUAGUAAAAUAUAAUAAGUAGUAUAAAUUAUAAAAUUUAGUAAAUUAUUAAAUCUUUAAAUAUAUAUUACGCCCUUUAGUAUUCUAAAGGGUAUACCUAUUUAAGUAUUAUUUAUACCCUUAAGCUUUACUUAGUAUUAGGCGUCUUUUUAUCUCCUCUUAUAAGAGACUUACCUUAAAGUUAUUAGUAGCUAGCCUACUAGUUUUAGAGCGUAGUAUAAGUUACGCUCUCUUCUAGCCCUAAGGUCUAGUAUCUACUAAGCCUUUUUUUUUUAACUUUUAACCUUAGAUUAGGUAGGGAUACCUACUAAAUUUAAGUAUAUUAAUAAGUAAAGGAAAAGAAACUAAUAAGGAUUACCUUAGUAAUAGUAAGUAAAGUAGUAAUAGCUUAAAUUUAAAAUCUAGCUCUUUUAGAGUCUAAGUUAUACUUUAUAAAGGGCGCUUUAGCUUUAGUAGUAGUCUAAGUUCCUUAGAAUAAGAUAUUAUAGAGAGUAAGAAUCUUAUACGUAGUUACUAGCUAUUACUAUAUAAAGCCCCUUUAAUAAGUUAAGUUAUUUAGGAAUAUAGCUCUAAAUAAGAGGUAUAUUUCUUCUAAAGCUAAAUAUUAGCUAGAGACUAAUAGUAUAUAAGUAGAGUAAUUAAAAGAUAAAAAGUACUUUAGAAAGAGAGUUAAAUAGUAUAUAAAAUUAUUAAAAAAGAAGCGCUUAUAGCUAAACUUACUUAUAGUUACUUAUCUAGGCUUUUUUACUUAGUAUACUCUUCUAUAAGUAAACUAGUAUUAGUUUAAGUAGUAGGAUAAAGGUCUCUAUUAUAUACCUCUUUUUAGGGAGGCUUUAUAGGGGAGGUAAUAUACUACUAGCUUAGACUAAGGUCUACGUAUCUACUAAGAUACUAGUAUAAUAGCUAUAAGUAGCCUAUCUUAAAAUAUAGACUAAGGAGUCUAAUAUCUAUAUAAGUAUUUAGGUGUUAAGCCUAAGCGCGUAAUAAAAGUAAAUAGAGGUAAGAACUUAUAAGGGUAUAUUAUUAACUAAUCCUAAUAUCUUUAGAAGGAUUUAAGUAAGAGUAUAGCUAUUAGGACUUAAAAGAUAGUAAACUAUACUUAAAUAGGGUAAAGCUAGAGGAAACUCUAGUAGAGGCUUAUAGUAGUUCUAAUAUAUAAAUUAAUUAUUAAAUUUAGGUAUAGGGGCGAAAGACUAAUUAAACUAUUUAGUAGCUAGUUCCUACUAAAGUUUCCUUUAGGAUAGUAGUAAUAUAUUUAGUUUUAUAAAGUAAAGUAAAUAAUUAAAGGCCUAGAGGUUAAAAUAAGCUUUACUUAUUCUUAAACUUUAAAUAUAUAAGAAGUCCUUAUUACUUAAUUAAAUAUAGAUAUUUAAAUAAAAUAUUAUUAGUAAGCUAUUUUUAGUAAGUAGAACUAGUAAUAUAAGAUAAACUAAAUAAGGGGUUAAAGUGCUAGAAUAUAUACUUAUUAAAUACUAUAAAAGGUGUUAGUUUAUCUAGAUAGUAAGAUAGUAGCUAUAGAAGUUAGAAUUUACUAAAGAGUAUAUAAUAACUUACUUACUAAAUAAACUAGCCUUAAAAAUAGAUAGCGCUUAAGUAUAUUACUUAUACCCCUUUACUAGGGUAAAAUUUACGCCCUAGUAAGUAAGUAGGCGUAAAGGUCUAUAAUAAAGCCUUAGGGGUAACCCUAGGUUAAAUAGCCUUUAGUAUAAAUCUUAGUAGUAGUAGUAAAUACUUAAAUAAGAACUUUAAGGACUAAAGUAAGGAAAGGUUCUAUAUAAAUAGUAGUUAGAUAUAAGUUAAUUAAUCCUAAGAGAUAAGGUAAUUCUAUUUUAAUAUUAGCGCUUACGCUACGCCCUUAAAAGGGAAGCUAGUUAAAAUUCUAGUAUUUAGAUAUAGAUUCUCUAUAGUAACGUAACUAAGAGUAAAGAUAUUAGUAAGAGCUCUAAGAAGAGUUCUCUUUUCUUCUUAAUAGUUUAUUACCCUAAAAUUAGUUUAUCUAAAGCUAGGGUUUAAUAGCUAGAAGAGCGCUAUACUUUUAUAGUAUUUAGUAUACUCUUAAUAACCCUUAAUAAUCUACUUAGAGACUUACUAUAGUUAUAAGUAUAACUUAGUAUAAAAACUAUUUCUUUAAGGUAAAUAGCCUCUAGUUAAUAAAAUAAUAUAGAUAAGAGAAGUUAGUAAAAUAGAUUUAUAACUUUAGGAAAAGGAUUAGCUCUAAGGGUUAGGUAUAUUAGGCCUUAGGGAGAAGCCUCUAGUAUAGAAAGGUACUAACUAUAAGGUAGGCGCCUUUUAGCGCUAAGGUACUAAUACCCUUAGUAGGCUUUAGCUAUCUAGUAUAUAUUUAAUAACUAACUUAGAACUAGUAUAGAUAAGGGGAAUCUAACUAUUUAAUUAAAAUAUAGUAUUAUAAUAGCUAGAAAGUAGUAUUAAUAUAAUAUAAUUUCUACUUAGUACUCUAAAUAUUAAAGUAAAGAGAUUUAACUAAGUAUAAGUAAAUAGUAAAAGUAACUAUAACUCUCUUAAGGUAGCUAAAUACCUUAUUAUCUAAUUAGUAACGUAUAUAAAUAGAUUAAUAAGAUUCUUACUAUCUCUAUCUACUAUCUAGUAAAACUAUAGCUAAGUAAAUAAGCUUAGCUAAAUUAGUAAGGGAAGAAGACCUUAUUAAGCUUAACUCUAAUUUAAUAUUAUAAAAAGAUAUAAAGGGUAUAGGAUAGGUAAGAGCUUUAGUACUAGUAAAAUACUACUACUCUUAUUAUUUUUUUACUUAUUUAAUAAAGUAGAGCUAGGUUUUACUACCUAACUUCUAGUAUUAAGGUCUUUUAUAGGCUAAUCUAAGUUAAAGAUAUUAUUAGGUAGGGAGUUUAGCUAGGGUAGUAUAUCUAUUAAACUAUAAUAUAGGUGUCCUAAGGGGGACUUAUAAAGAAUAGAAAUCUUUAGUAAAGUAAAAUAGUAAAAGUCCCCUUAAUUUUAAUUUUUAGUAUAAAUAUAAACUAUAAAAGUAUAGCCUAUUAAUCCUUUAGAGUUCUUUAAAAUAUAAGGCUAAAGGUACUAGAAAAGUUACUAUAAGGAUAACUAGCUUAUAGUAGCUAAACGUUUAUAGUAAUAUUACUUUUUAAUCCUUUAAUAUUAGCUCUUCUUAUUAUACUAAAGUAGAAUUUAGUAAACGUUAGAUUAUUUACCUACUAAUAAGGAACGUAAGCUAGGUUUAGACUAUUAUAAGAUAAGUUAGUUUUACCUUACUAAUAACCUUACCCUAAUAGUAAUACUACUUAGUAUAAGAGGAACUAUAGUUUUAGAUAAUUAGUUUUUAUAGCUAUCUAACUAAGUAUUACUAUAAAGCUACUAUCUACUAGAUUAUAGCUAAACGCCUCUAAGUUAGAAUCUAUACUAGAAUAAGGUAAUUUCU